rnacentral:rRNA from 1 species
AUGUGUAAAGUCAUCCGUGAUAAUCUCAAAGCCGCGCAAUCGCGCCAGAAGAGUUACUAUGAUAGUAAGCACCGUGAUUUGGCUUUCGAGAUCGGAGACCAUGUCUACCUCCGCGUCUCUCCAAUGAAAGGCACUCGUCGCUUCGGUAUCAAAGGGAAGCUUGCCCCUAGGUACGUGGGUCCUUUCAAGAUCAUUGGCAAAAGAGGCGACCUCGCCUAUCAACUUGAGCUUCCUUCCAACUUCGCGAACGUGCACGAUGUGUUCCACAUGUCACAGCUCCGCAAGUGCUUCAAGACGCCUGAGCGCACUAUGAACUUCGAAGAGAUUGACCUCCAAGAAGAUUUGUCUUAUCAUGAGCACCCCAUUGCUAUUCUUGAAGAAGCUGAGCGCAAGACUCGCAACAAGUCAAAUUCCUGA